rnacentral:sRNA from 15 species
GAGGAUCUGUCGGGGAGGCCGGUGGGGAUUUUUCACGCCAAAGACCUAAAAUUGUAGCGAAAAUUGCAGACUGGGGACUUCAGAGUUAAAAACACUCACUUAAGAAUUAUCAGAUACGUGGGUGUAAGCCUACGUUGGGCGCUGCAAGAUCCUCCUAGGCACUGUAAUGUCCGAGAAUGCCAGCAUUUUUGGUGAAGCUCUUCGAUGUUUGCGAAUAAUUCUCCGCGGCCAUGGUCGCUCGAAUUUUCGCUAGGUGUUGCAUGCGAAGAUAUCGAUAGGCGAGACCCUAGAAGCGCUGAGAGGAAGGUAUUUUUUUGAACAGAGUGGCAGGGCCAAAAUUUAAGGGGAAAGGUUAGCGAAGAGUGGCCACCUGGUCCUGGAGAGUUAGAGUUCCGCGCGCUCUCCGGAGCCGUUGUGAGAGGAUUUCCGAUCCCAUCCCAUAACGGAGUCCCGAAGCCAACUCACCCACACCCAAAAGAAAAGAGAGCCGCCAGCAGCCCGAAUCAGGCCAUGCCCUUGAACCUAGUUCAAGGGCGAUAGAAGAGAGAGCGAUGGGGAUCGGCAGCCGGGAGCAUUAAACAGAACAGCCAAGAGGGGGUUCAGAAAAAAAAGUUCCCGCAACGGAGGAGCAUGCGCGCCGGACAUAGCGACUUAGCGAUUUUUUUUUGUUCUGAAAGAAAAAAUAAAUAAAUGUGAUUCCAGGGGAUCCAGAUCAGGGAAAGACCAGGAACCAGGACCAGGAAGCAUAAGAGGAAUAGGUCACAGCUCCGCCACCCUGGCUUGUUUUUCCUGCUGGUCUCGAAGGAUCAGACCUGGCCACGUAGUGCGGGACCCUCGCCCACUUAGGGAGAAGAAAAAAAGCACAUCAACUUAUUUACUCCCAUUAAUUAUUUUUGUUAGACGUCUCUAGUUAUAAGUAUAUGUAAUUUAAGUCCGUCCCUAUUUAUUAUAUAUAUGUAACCUAUUUAUUUAUAUUUAUUAUAUUAUUUAUUCCUAUUAAUCUAAUUAUUUAUUAACCGCCAGUAGUACUAAGAUGAGGGGGGGAUGAAUAGGCAGGCCUAGUUUAGAAAUGAUAUCGUGUGAAAAUAGGAAAUGAAGUGAAGAUUAUAACGAAGAAAUGAA